CCUACGGGAGGCUGCAGUAGGGAAUAUUGCUCAAUGGCGGAAACCCUGAAGCAGCAACGCCGCGUGGAGGAUGACGGUUUUAGGAUUGUAAACUCCUUUUGUUAGAGAAGAUUAUGACGGUAUCCAACGAAUCAGCACCGGAUCACUCCGUGCCAGCAGCCGCGGGAAUACGGAGGGUGCAAGCGUUACUCGGAAUCACUGGGCGUAAAGCGUGCGUAGGCGGGGUAAUAGGUGAGCCGUGAAAUCCUGUAGCUUAACUACAGAACUGCAGUUGAAACUGUUACUCUGGAGUGUGGGAGAGGUAGGUGGAAUUCUUGGUGUAGGGGUAAAAUGCGUAGAGAUCAAGAGGAAUACUCAUUGCGAAGGCGACCUGCUGGAA
rnacentral:rRNA from 1 species